CGAAUCCUGACACAGGGAGGUAGUGACAAGAAAUAACAAUACAGGGCUCUCCGAGUCUUGUAAUUGGAAUGAGUACAAUUUACAUCUCUUCACGAGGAUCAAUUGGAGGGCAAGUCUGGUGCCAGCAGCCGCGGUAAUUCCAGCUCCAAUAGCGUAUAUUAAAGUUGUUGCAGUUAAAACGCUCGUAGUCGGAUUUCGGGGCGGGGCCGCCGGUCUGCCGAUAGGUAUGCACUGGCGGGCGCGUCCUUUUUCCCGGAGACGGCUGCUACUCUUAACUGAGCGGUGGUCGGAGACGGGAUGUUUACUUUGAAAAAAUCAGAGUGUUUCAAGCAGGCAGUCGCUCUUGCAUGGAUUAGCAUGGGAUAAUGAAAUAGGACUCUGGUGCUAUUUUGUUGGUUUCGAGCACCGGAGUAAUGAUUAACAGGGACAGUCAGG
rnacentral:rRNA from 1 species